AUCAGGAUAUUGAAAAAUCCAGUGGUUUUCCACCUCUCCCCUCGUCUGCCUCCUCUCUCCUCUACUCUAUUUCCGUCUCCAUCAACACAGCAAUUGACUAUCCAUCACUAUUGUUCAAGAAAACCAAAUCCCAAUGCUCUGCAAUUUCAGGAAGAAAUGGAGAAAUGGAAUAUCCAUCAGUUUCAAGGGGCUCUUGCCGUCGAUUCGACAACUAUCAAGGUUCAAACCGACGGGUCCAAGCCUCUUCGCCCCCAAUCCAUCACUUCUCCUUAAUAUCAGUCGAAAAGAAGUUGGUGGUGAAGAGCCUUUUAGACUCCUCGUCGUCUCAGCUCACUAAACCAUAAAAGGUAACCUCUCUUCCUCCCUUUCUGUUCAAUUGUAUUUUUCCGUUUCUCGUUUCGUUGAUGUCUGGGACUAUAUGGCUUUGUAAUGGCUAAAUCCCUUUUAUAUAUUGUUUAAUUGUAUGUUAAUAUCUGAACAUUUAUUAUAGUCGUUUGCUUAGUCGUUAUGACUGUUGAAAGAGUAUAGACUAAGAGGAGCAUUUUGAUGGAUGUUAAAGGAAGAUGGAGAACGUCACAUGACGUUCGUCGUUUAUCUCCGUCCUCUGCUCGUAAAAUACUCCAAAUAUCCCCAUUCCUAUUUUCUCCUGAUGCUUCAGUUCUCUUCAAGCAAAGAGAUUAUUUUAAGCUCAUGUUUGUGGUUCGUGGCUCUUAUAUUUGUUCGUGCUAAAGAUUUGUUGCUGUUUUUUCUUUAAUUUCCUUGGCAUACUGUUUUAACAUUUAAUCCAAGCAUGGGGUAAGAGGCUGAUCAUAUAUGCAUCAUAGAAUGAAUAAUUACAGCCUUAGAGUGUUUGCUACUCCCACUUCCCUUUUUUCCUAAUUCGUAUAAUUUUUUUCCUUUUCCGUCCGCCCCAUCGAUUUUUUAGAGUACUCCUAUCUAGCUAUUUAGUAGAAAUUUGAGAUGUGGGGAUGUUCAUGUGAGCGUUAUGCAGUAAAAGAAAAUAUACUUUGGUGUUAGUCACUUUCACCUCUCUUUUCCUCAAUAAAUUUUGCAUAAGUUUCUUCCCACCUGUUAUUCCCUCAUGAAUAUCUCAUGUUGUUUUUAUUGCUGCCCUUUUAUUGUCUAAAUUAGUUAUUUUGACUCAAAAUAAGUAUAUGGUUAAGGGAUGCAUCCAUUGACACCACAUAUAGAAGAAGAACACUUCGUGGUGUUCAUUAUUCUAUACCUCUCUUUUCCUCAAAUACUUUGAGCAAGUUCCUCCCCUCACUCCCUUAUGUGAAAGUAUUUUCGUAGCCUAUGUGAUCAGAUUUUUGUUUGAGUUCGAGUGGCCGUUGGUUUUGCUCGACUCCGUACUUGAAUGCGCUCCCAAAAGAGGAUGUUCUAGCCUUUCCUUUUGAUCCGUUUAUGGCUAGAUAUUUCUUUCUAGAAUAUGUCCCUUUGUUCCUUUAUGAACUAAGUAUAUGAUGUGCUUUCCUGGUUGAGCUUGAAGUUUUAUAAAGUUGCAUCCAAGUUUUAAUUAAAGUCUCCAGGCAAGGAUUCCUAAAUGAGAUAGGCUUUAUGGUUAAAACUUGACUUUUUUUCUCUCUUUUGCAUCUGCACUAGUAGCAUAACGUAACGGGAGGCUCAUUUGAGUUUGAAGGAAAGAAGUUAACAUAUUGUAAUGUUUACUUUCACACUUUUCUUCUUGCUGAAACAUACAUGAGAUGUGCCUGACUACAUAUUCCUUUAAAUUAAUAUCAUCUGUGAAUUUUGGUUUUCCUUUUUCUAUGCAUAAAAUGGUAUUUCUAUUUCUUGGGAUCUUUGAAAUAAAAGUAACAAGUUAGGUAUGCACUGUCCAUGAAAUCUUGUCUUCUUUACAUUUGCUAGCUACGAAUAAUGAAUUAGAUGUUUCAAGUUUUAUGAUUAUUUUAACAUCUUUUUUUUUUGGUCGACUAUGAGCUUAUAAGUAUCAUGUUUAACCGAGUCCUUUUUUUUUAUUUUUAGAAACUUGAAUAACUAAUCCUUAUCUUCUCUUUAUUGCAUGAACUCCUUUGUGAGUCCCCCGGACUCCCAUUUCUCACAUUCGGUUGAGUUAAACCCAACCUCCAUCGAGUCAAAGCCUCAACCGAAUUCACAAACGAGCUGGGGAUUGCUUGGCUGGUGAGUCGCAGGAUAUCCAGAGUGAUGAAGAAAUAGAUUUGGAUGAUUAUUUGCGAAAUUUCAAACAACCAUGAAAGAAUCUUCCAGCACUACAAAAAACAAAGUGGAAAAAUGACAUAAGAACAUGGAGGGUCCUGUCAAUGUUGAAAUUAUUGAAAGUUAUGAUGGCAGACAAAAUGAAAACAACUUAAUGAAAAAGCAAGAGUUCAUUUAUGAAUAGUAAAGGACACUUAGCUUUCUGAAAAACAAGGGUCGUUUAUAAAUAGUAAAAGCCAAUUGUGAAUAGUAAGGGUCAUUUCUUGUUUUGUCUUUUGUAUAGAGCAUUCAUUAUAUAAGGAGCUCAUUUUUCAUUUUCCAAGGACAGGUUUUAGAACCACCACUUUCUCUUUACCACUCUCUUUCCCUUGUAAUAUAUAUCUUAGUUUGAAAUAAAAGCUUUUGGUUCUGAGCACAAUCCAUCCAUAUUAAGGUUAUUUUAAAAUUUCUGCAUUUUAAUUUUAAUUUUAACUUUAUUAUCUCUAGCAAAUUCCUAGUGUUGAACUAUAACAGAAUAUGUUACAUGUAUGAAAUGACAUCUUGUUAUUAAUAAGAAUCGUAAACCUCCAUUAUUGCAGAGGUUUGUAUGUUAAGAUGCUGCAAUUAUGAGUCCAAUCUUGACAUUAAUGUCGGAUGUCCCGGUAAAGGCCGAUUAGCCAGGUAGGCGUGAAGGGUCGUAAUUGGGACUUGGUUGAAGAUUGACUUAUGACUAAGGUUAACUAACAUAUAGUAAAAGUACCUAGUGCGACAGUGAAGCAAUCCGGUUCUUGUAUGGUAUCAAAGCCAUGGAAUACUUGUAUACAUAACUGUUAUAUGUUCAACACAUCAUUCCUAAUGAAUAUCAUCAGGAAGAAAAAUACUAUGAAAAAUAGUAAAAAAGAGGAGUAUGAUAUUCCUCGAAACUUGGAUCUGCUUAAUAAGUGGACGGUCCCAAAAGUGCCAUCCAGAAAGUUGUACCAAAUGGGAACUUUCGAGACUUUAGGUCUCAAACAGUUGUUAAAAUAACUAAAGAGACACUUACAGUAGAUAGUGAUCAUGCUACUUUCAAAUUAUUAUCUGAAAGUGAUUUUGCUCCAUAUCAUGAAACAUGUAAGUUUAUGCAUAUUGGUUUAAUUUAAGUCGUAUUUAAACCACCAACCCUGAGAGGUUUGCCUGAAAGCUUUAUUGCAGCUUUAAGAGAUGGCAGAAAUAAAAAUUGGAAGAAGUCUCUUAUUGGGAACGUCCAAACCAGUUUGGCUUAUGGCCCGAUGUAUUUUAAUGCAUAUCCUAAUCUACAGAUAUCUCUCACUGCUGAGAAUUCUUUGGAUGCUUUAAUUUUGAGUAUUAAAUUGCAUGGAUAUAAUUACAUGCCUGGUACUGAGGUUAUAUGUAUUUGCUAUAGGAUAUAUUAUAAACCUCUCCAUACUUUAAAUCCAAUGUGUAGAAUGAUGGAUUUCAAAAAUGAAACUAUUUUAAUAGGAACAAAUUUUUGUAGAUCCAAAGUUGUUACUAGGCGACUUAUAAAAUGAGAUGAAAUUGAUUUUCCAAAAGAAUGGAUCCUUGAGGAUGCAGCUCCUCCUCAAACAGAUCUCAAUGAAGAGAUUUCAGAGGUAGAACAAUCCGCUGAUGGUACUGUUCGAAUCAGAUUUUCUGAUUCAUUACCUCUAUUAAACAGAGUUGAUGAUUUGUUUGUUGCAACAUCAUUGAGAUUAACAAGAUCAACAUCUUCAUACAUAUCUCCUGUUGUUGAUUAUAUUGUUAGAUCUCCCUCUAGAGCUUCUACAUCUCAGAUUAGAGAAAACACUAGAAUGAAUAACAUCAGGAUUGAUAAUGAUAAUAUUGUUACUGCAAUUCCUGAUAUGAAUCCAAUUGAGUCCUAAAUAGAAUUUCCAACUGGUUUAAAAUGAAUCACAGCCAAAUUGAUUUUAGUCCAGGAUCUCUGGCAAGAAAUUUUUUUUUCUAAAGAAUACUAUAAACCUAAAUGGGAAUUGUUCCGAACAUAGUUUUUUCAAAACUGUAGCAAAGAAGAAAAAACUGCUUUCCAGGAAGAGUUCUAUGCAGAUCUUUCUGUGCAUAGUAAAAUAAUUGCUUUCGUGCCCUAAUUUAUGGCCAGAUAUGUGGAUAAUUAUAUUUCCAUGCUAGCUAGGGAGUUUAAAUUACCUACCGGAGAAACUACUGCUUCAGUAUUCUCUCUCCAGCAGUCCUUUCAAAUCGAAAGAGACAACAAGUUAGUUUAUUUUACAGUCUUUGUUAUGAUGAUGGAUAAUGAUACUGCCCUAAUAACUGCCCAAAAUAUCAAUACAAUGCUAAAACAGAAUAACUAUGCUAACUAUUAAAUGAGCAUCUUGGGAGAGCAAAUGAUUUCUCUAUAUAAGUCCUAUCUGAUUUUUGGAUAGAGCUUAGUAUUACUAAGCAAAUAGACCUUAAACUUAAGGACCCUGAGGUCCUGGCUACUCCAACCAUCCAACCUCUCCCUGAAAUCCAAGAUUUCAAGUUAUCUAUUGACUUGGAUAAUAUCAAAAAGUUGCUAGAAGAAAAAUUUCGUGGAUUAAAGAUAAAUCCUAUCCAUGAUGAAAAUUUUGCAGGAGACAACGAUGGGCAUGCUACUCCUGUUGAGAUAAAUAAGAUCUCAGAUAAAUUUGCUAGAAAAGCCUACCCAAAAGAUGUUUUAUUAUCCUAGAUCAACUCUUCAGGAUGUUCUAUUUGAAGAUCAAGGAUUAUAUGUCCUCAAUAGUUUCAGAGGUGAUGAAAUCUACGAGUGGAAUGUAGAUGACUUAUCUGAUAGAUAGAUAUCUAUAAUGGUACAUAGAAUGUUGAUGUACAAUACCAUAUAUAAAGCCCUUUCGAAAACUAAUGAUAGGGGCAUUGCCGAAAUCAGGUUUUACUGGUCAACUUAAAGGCUGGUGGGAUAAUUAUCUUAUCCAAGACCAGAAAACCAAAAUCAUCCAGUCUGUAUAGUAGUACAUGACCAAAGAGAGUUAGAUGGUCGAAUCAGGCCCUUAUGCAAAAGAGAUUAGCCAAUCAUAGGCUAGAGAUAAUAAAGUGUAAAUUAAAAUUAAAAUGCAGAAAUUUAAAAAUAACCUUAAUAUGGAUGGACUGUGCUCAAAACCAAAAACUUUUAUUUCAAACCGAGAUAUAUAUUACAAUGGAAAGAGAGUGGUGGUUCUAAAACUUGUCUUUAAAAAAUGAAAAAUGUGCUCCUUAUAUAAUGGAUGCUCUAUACAAAAGACAAAGCAAGAAAUGACCUUUACUAUUCAUAAUCGACCUUUAGAGGGACAUCGAACCGGAUCGCUUCACUGUCGCACUAGGUACUUUUACUAUAUGUUAGUUAACCUUAGUCAUGAAUCAAUCUUAAACCAAGUCCCAACUACGGUCCUUCACGCCCACCUAGCUAAUCGGCCUUUACAGGGACAUCCGGCAUUAAUGUCAAAAUUGAACUCAUAAUUGCAGCAUCUUAACAUACAACCUCUGCAACAAUCGAGGUUUAUGAUUCUUAUUAAUAACAAGAUGCCAUUUCAUACAUGUAACAUAUUCUGUUAUAGUUCAACACUAGGAAUUUAGCCCAUCAUAGGCUAGAGAUAAUAAAGUUAAAAUUAAAAUUUAAAUGCAGAAAUUUAAAAAUAACCUUAAUAUGGAUGGAUUGUGCUCAGAACAAAAAGAUUUUAUUUCAAACCAAGAUAUAUAUUAUAAGGAAGAGAGAGUAGUAGUAGAGAGAAAGUGGUGGUUCUAAAACCUGUCCUUAAAAAAAUAAAAAAUGAGCUCCUUAUAUAAUAGAUGCUCUAUACAAAAGACAAAACAAGAAAUGACCCUUACUAUUCACAAUUGGCUUUUACUAUUUAUAAACGACCCUUGUUUUUUCAAAAAGCUAAGUGUCCUUUACUAUUCAUAAAUGACUCUUGCUUUUUCAUUAAGCUGUUUUCAUUUUGUCUGCCAUCAUAGCUUUUAAUAAUUUCAACAUUGGCGGGACCCUUCAUGUUCUUAUGUCAUUUUCCCCUUUGUUCU